UUAUAGAUCUCGCCGGUUUCCCUCUUCCGUUACAGUUCGCCGGAGAAGUACAAUUCUAAUUUUUCCGAUCGAGACUUUGUUGGAGCCGGAACACUGGAAAUACUUCGAUCGGUACCUAUAUAUAACUUGCAGUUCUGAGUGGCUAAGUGAAUCCAUAGGAAAUGGCUUAUGAUAACUCCUCCACGCUUGAGCCCAAACGUUCCCAUCAAUGGUUCAUGGAUGGCAUCGAGCCUGAACUGCUUCCCAACAAGAAGCAAGCCAUUGAAGUACCUAAUCACAGUUCAUUCUCUGGACUUUUAAGUUCCAAUAUUGCCCCCUGGAUGAACACUCCUGGUUUCCACUCAGCACCAGGCCAAUAUGCAGAAAGGCAGUUUGACAAUGACAGCGCAAGAUCGCUCAGCUUUGAUGACAACAGUGUUCCAUCCGUUGGCAUAGGCAACAUGAAUAUGUCUAGAAAGGUGAUGGAAGAUCCAUUUGGAAGUGAUUCCUCAUUUGGUUUAUCCAUAUCCCAUACACUGGAGGAUCAUAGAUUAGGUCUUAACUAUAGUGGUAUCAGAAAGGUCAAAGUCAACCAGGUGAAGGAGGCUGAGAAUUUCAUGCCUGUGUCAAUGGGUGAUAUCUAUACCAGAGGGAUCAGCAAUGCAAUGCCAACAGAUCAUGCAUUUAGUAAGGCUGAGGAUAAUUGCAUAGCUAUGGGGCUCUCUUUCAACGGAGGUGAUGAGCAUCUGAUGUCAUUAAGUGACACAUUUAAUAGGGAAGACAACAGUUUCAUAUCUAUGGGUCAACCUUUUAACAAGGUGGAUAGCAAUGAAAUAUCAGUGGGUCACAGCUUCAAAGAGAGCAGCUUACUAUCAAUGAGUCACCCUUUUUGUAAAGAUGAAAGCAAUAUUACUAUCCUGAAUCAAAGUUUUAGCAGAGAGGAUGAUAGCACAAUAUCAGUGAGUCACUCAUUCAAUGACAAUAAUACUGCCAUAUCAAUGGGCCAGCAAUUCAGUAAUGAUGAUAGCAAUAUUACAUCAGUUGGACAAACUAUUAAUAAGAUGGCUGACACCAAUCCACCUAUGAGCCACUGCUACAGCAAAGUCGAUGACAAUGCCAUAUCAGUGAGUCAGACCUAUAGCAAAGUUGAAAACAAUAAUUUGUCAAUGAGUCAAUCUUUUGGCAAUGGAGAAAGCAAUAUCAUAUCCUUUGGUGGAUUCAAUGACGAUGACGAUAUAAAUUCUUCUGGAAGGCUGAUUUGCAGUUAUGAUUUAUUAAUGAGUCAGUCUUCAGGCCAACAAUCAGAUAUUGUGGCUGGAAAGCGAUUGGUUGAGUCAAAUGCGGAUAUAGUUACAAGUGCUGCUCAAAUGGCUGGCAGUAAGGAAUUUAUUUCCAAAAAGGAGGAGCAGAAAGCAACUAAAAAGCCUCAUUCGAACAGUUUCCCUUCAAAUGUGAGAAGCUUGCUCUCAACUGGUAUGUUAGAUGGAGUACCUGUCAAGUAUAUAGCUUGGUCCAGAGAGAAGGAGCUCCGUGGUAUUAUAAAAGGCUCUGGUUACCUCUGUGGCUGUCAGUCAUGUAAUUUUUCCAAGGCAAUUAAUGCUUAUGAGUUUGAGCGACAUGCUGGUUGUAAGACAAAACACCCUAAUAAUCAUAUAUACUUUGAGAAUGGGAAGACGAUCUAUGGGAUUGUUCAGGAGCUCAGGAACACACCUCAGGAUUUACUAUUUGAAGUUAUUCAGACAAUUACUGGAUCAUCCAUUAACCAAAAAUCAUUUCGCAUCUGGAAAGAAUCUUUUCUAGCUGCGACACGUGAACUUCAGCGUAUAUAUGGGAAGGAUGAGGUCAGACGACUGUCAUAAAGAGGUAUCCAUAUGCAAGCCCAACUGAAGCACCCAAUUGUUAUCAUGAUGGAACCUUUGAUAGCAUGGCUUAGAUUUAACCCACCACUUUGAGAGUCAUGACCGGCAUUUCCUGCUGUCCAAAAUAGUUCAACUAUUGGGCCUCGUACCAGGGUCAUGAUCAUGGCUCCUGCCACUGUGGCAACAGUCCCAACUAGUUUGGCUUGGCUGCGGAUGCUUAAACUUCUAUGGUUAUGUACAUGACAGAUUGACAACCAAGGUGCGUGGGUUGCCUGCUUAAAGAAACUGUGUUUUCUCUUUUGCUAUUGGUCCUCAUAGUUGAUCACUCAAUUAUCGCCUUGAUCCUUGGUAAUAAUUCUUGUCAAAUAGUUAUGGCUGUAAAUUAAAUCUUUCCUUUGGUUCUAAAUUUUGAUGUA